ACUCUCCGCUCCAGCAGGUGGCAGAAAUCCUCCAUGUGACUGUUUACCAAAUACCAUGAAAUGGAAAAGCAGGUGCACUUCACACAACUAAGCAUCUCUGCAGCUUUCUUAGGAGUUGAUGCCACAACCUAAAGGCUAAGAGCCACCAGAUGCUGACAUUUCAGAAAGAGGAAGUUCAUUCAGUGAAAGCUUCCGUGGUGUCGGGAAAGUGAAAUAUGAAAGUUUCGGUUGACCAGAAAGAAGAAGUCUACCACCCAUUAACUGGAAAAGACCCCCUCGCUCCACCUAGACUUCAGUUCCACAUAUUUCACAAACAAUAGCAAGUCUGAGCGGCUGUAUUUACACUGCCUGAUGGGAAAUAAGAGAGGAGAAACUUUCACUAUGUGGAAAAGACCUGCUUGAUCGUCCUUCAAAAAGAUUCUUUCUCCACUAGAAGCAUAUGAGUUUACACCGACAUCAUGACUGGAGUAAAUGGUUCCCAUGGUAACGGUGUAGUCUGGCUGCCGCCCAAACCCAAAACAGACAGAGCAUUCUGGGAUAUAAUACAUCAAAACCACCAGCAUCACCUUACCAAACCCGGCCUCCCACACAGAAGCCAGUGCAUCAAUGUGUUGUAUUUGGAAAUAGUAUCCAUCAUCAUUCAAGAAUUUUAGUAAUCGUUUUAGAGCCUUGCAUCUCAAUUGGUUUUGUGCCAGGAUGCAGAUUUUACAUUUGAAAUCAAGUUUAUGGUACAAGAGACAAAUGUCUUUGAAUCAGUUGAUUAAUAUGCCG
rnacentral:lncRNA from 1 species